rnacentral:rRNA from 1 species
UCAAGUGAAUAAGUGCACACGGUGGAUGCCUUGGCGACAACAGGCGAAGAAGGACGUGGAAAUCUGCGAAAAGCCCCGGGAAGCCGAUAACAGGCAAUGAUCCGGGGAUCUCCGAAUGGGGCAACCCGACCUUAGGGUCAUCCGUAGUUGAAUACAUAGACUGCGGAAGCGAACCGGGAGAACUGAAACAUCUAAGUACCCCGAGGAAAAGAAAUCAACCGAGAUUCCGCAAGUAGCGGCGAGCGAACGCGGAGAAGCCCAAUUAAGUUGCGUAUGAGCUAGUAGAACAUUCUGGGAAGGAUGGCCACAGAGGGUGAUAGCCCCGUAUACGAAAGCCAUACACAAUGAAUCGAGUAGGGCGGGACACGUGAAAUCCUGUCUGAAGAUGGGGGGACCAUCCUCCAAGGCUAAAUACUCGUUGUCGACCGAUAGUGAACCAGUACCGUGAGGGAAAGGCGAAAAGAACCCUGGUGAAGGGAGUGAAAUAGAACCUGAAACCGUGUGCAUACAAGCAGUCAGAGCAUAUAAAGAUAUGUGAUGGCGUACCUUUUGUAUAAUGGGUCAGCGAGUUACAUUCAGUGGCGAGGUUAACCGGAUAGGGGAGCCGUAGCGAAAGCGAGUCUUAAGAGGGCGACAAGUCUCUGGGUGUAGACCCGAAACCGGGCGAUCUAUCCAUGGGCAGGUUGAAGGUUGAGUAACAUCAACUGGAGGACCGAACCCACGCAUGUUGAAAAAUGCGGGGAUGACCUGUGGAUAGGAGUGAAAGGCUAAACAAGCUCGGAGAUAGCUGGUUCUCCCCGAAAACUAUUGAGGUAGUGCCUUGUAGAUUGACUUGCGGGGGUAGAGCACUGUUUCGGCUAGGGGGUCAUACCGACUUACCAACCCGAUGCAAACUCCGAAUACCGCAAAGUUUUACUACAGGAGACACACGGCGGGUGCUAACGUCCGUCGUGAAGAGGGAAACAACCCAGACCGCCAGCUAAGGUCCCGAAAUGACAGUUCAGUGGGAAACGAAGUGGGAAGGCUUAGACAGCUAGGAGGUUGGCUUAGAAGCAGCCAUCCUUUAAAGAAAGCGUAAUAGCUCACUAGUCGAGUCGUCCUGCGCGGAAGAUUUACCGGGGCUAAACUGUCUACCGAAGCUGCGGAUUUGCAUGAAAAUGCAAGUGGUAGGGGAGCGUUGUGUAAGCUGAUGAAGGUGUGUUGAGAAGCAUGCUGGAGGUAUCACAAGUGCGAAUGCUGACAUGAGUAACGAUAAUGCGGGUGUAAAACCUGCACACCGAAAACCCAAGGUUUCCUGCGCAACGCUAAUCGGCGCAGGGUGAGUCGGCCCCUAAGGCGAGGCGGAAACGCGUAGUCGAUGGGAAACAGGUUAAUAUUCCUGUACUGAUCAUAAUUGCGAUGGGGGGACGGAGAAAGCUAGGCCAGCACACUGUUGGAUGUGUGUUUAAACGCGUAGGUUGGGGACUUAGGCAAAUCCGGGUUUCCAAGACUGAAACGUGAUGACGAGUUUCUACGGAAACGAAGUGGUUGAUGCUCUGCUUCCAGGAAAAGCCUCUAAGCUUCAGAUUAUGACAACCGUACCCCAAACCGACACAGGUGGGUAGGAAGAGAAUUCCAAGGUGCUUGAGAGAACUCGGGUAAAGGAACUCGGCAAAAUGAUACCGUAACUUCGGGAUAAGGUAUGCCUCUGACGGUGCAUAGCUGUUGGAGGCCGCAGAGAAUAGGCCGCUGCGACUGUUUAUCAAAAACACAGCACUCUGCAAACACGCAAGUGGACGUAUAGGGUGUGACGCCUGCCCGGUGCCGGAAGGUUAAUUGAUGGGGUGCAAGCUCUUGAUCGAAGCCCCGGUAAACGGCGGCCGUAACUAUAACGGUCCUAAGGUAGCGAAAUUCCUUGUCGGGU